ensembl:lncRNA
AAAAGGUAACAGAGCCAGACCUUUGUCCCAGAGCCAGACCUCCACCUCCUCACCCAGAGCCAGACCUCCACCUCCUCACCCAGAGCCAGACCUCCAGACCUCCUGUCAGAAGUCCUCCAGAACAGGUCAGUGCUCUGUGUGAGUAGAGUCUUCUCAGGUCAGUUUCAAUGCAUGGCCUGAACCACUUCUUUAAACUUGUGGACUGCUCUGUCUUCAUUCCCAAAAACGGGAUGCUCAUGUCUGGUCUCAAGUCUUUUCUGGCCUUGAGUUAUAAAAUAAUAGUUCAAUUAAUUGUGUAACUCGGUUUCGGAUGAGUCAAAUAAGUUUAUUGUUGGGCAAAUGCUGAUAUAAACCUGCUGCUGUAGCUGAAAGGCGAGGCUGAGAGGCUGGGGACCGGAGGCUUGUGGUGCCAGGGUGGACCGGAGACUGAGGCUGGAGACCAGGGGCCUGCAGCACCGGACCAGAGGGACUCUGGCUGAGGAGAGCUGAUGGAGGAGCCAAGACUCUGGAGGACGACAUCACUCCACCAACCAGGAUCCUUACCAGGAAUCUGGAGGACUGAUGGAGAAGCCGUACAUCUGGAAGGCAAAUCCUGAGGACCACCAGGACUCUACCAUCAAGGAUUCCUCAUAAAUUUGCAUUAUCUGGACAUAGUGGACUAGACACACCUGAGCUGAACCUCACCUGAUCCUGUUUGGUCGGGGGUAGACACACCUGAGCUAAACCCGCCCUGAUCCUGACAUCCUGCUGGUCCCGUCUCCUCAGUUCAUCUGAGCCUCGUCCUCCAGAAGACCUGCUGAGCUCAGCAGUCUGAGGCUGAUGGAUCAAUGACCUCCAGUGGGAGUGAUCUUCUUGACCCCACAUGUAACCGUGUGCUUCCACACGCCUUUCCCUCACGUCUGUCACUAACCUCACUACUUCACUACUCUCUACUGCUUCCUCUUCUUCUUUCCUUCUGUGGUUCAAACCUUUACACUGAAGGCGCGUCUUCCUGCCCUCAGAGGGUUUAGCGUUAGGGUUGAGAGUCAGGGUUUAGAGUCAGGGACAGAGCUGGUCAGGGAGGACUGCUUUUACAAAAACCUCUUCACUUGCUUUCGGAAUGGUGGUGACAUUUUGAAAAGAUUAAUUUGGGAAAAUGUUUUCCUCUGCUUUCCUUUACAAAAUUGUAUCAAACUUAUGUCAAGUGUUU